rnacentral:lncRNA from 1 species
GAUAAAAAAUCCAAGAUCCUUUGACACAAUGGUUGUCUCCCAGUUGCAAGCCAGAUCAGAGAGCCAAGGUGGUGGCUCCUCAAGGAACAGUUGUAUUUCUCAUCCGGCUCCAGGAGAAGAGGACUCUGUGGUGACUUUUGAAGAGUGGAGUCUCCCAACUCAGGAUGACAAAGAAGAGGAGUCUCUCAAGGAAAUGGUCCUCUUCCACCUCUCGCCAACACAUCAGCCUCACCCAGAUGUCCAACCAACACACCUGGAGUCGGGGCUCUCAGAAGGUGGGGAGUCUCUGAUUGCUUGCUUUGAUACCGAUGACGAAUUGGACAACCAGCCUCCAUUGACCGACACUGUGGAGGAAUCGCCGUCGGUCGUUCCCUUAGCCGAGGAAUGGAUGGGCCAGAUUUGCCAAGGGUCCGUCAUCCCCAUGGCAUGGAACCCCGAAUCAUGCCCAGUUGAGCUGGAAGACCUGGAAGCCGCUGACAAUCACGAUUCUUCGAGUUUGGACAUUGGCACGCAGCUUGAAGUGUCUGAGAAAUGGCUGCUGGAGCUCCUCGACCAAGAUGGUGCCGCCAGAGGAUGUUCCACUGCACUGGAGCCCAUUGGAAACAGCGAGCUGUUGGAGACCUCUUCUGAGAAGGCAAGGCCCUUUGCGUCGCUCCUGGAAUCAAAGGGCACUCUUUUAGAACAACCCAAAGUUGUCCGAGCGGAAGCCGAGACAACCCAGGACAGCCUCAUUGUCUGUCUGGAGUCAGAAGACGAGCUGGAGGAAGCAUCAUCUCUUGACCAGAUCAGCAACGAGUACCGUGUGAUGGUGGCGGCCUUUUCUGAGGCAAAACCCGGCUCCCUCUCGGUGCUGAGCAACCUGACAGAGAAGCUCCUUGCCGAAGACAAUGGGGUCCAAGAAUCUCCUCUCUUCUCACAAGACGGGGAGGAAGCAGAUGAAUUGCAGAACUGGAGUUUAUGUGGAACGCAGAAUAGCUCAAUCGAUCCAGAAAUAGAGGACUACUCCGGACACUCUUCCAACGACGAAGUGGUGGUAGAUGACACCACAACACCUAAUCUUUCUGAACUCUGCUUGGAAAUUGGCAAAACUGAAGCACUCAAUGGAAGAGAGAAAAAGGGGACUGGUCAGCAGCAUACGGCCAUUGUAGCCUGUUACUCUCCACCCAGGAGAGUAACUUCCAUCCUCUCCACCCACCCAAACACCCCCAGGGGCCAAGACUACCUUGGAUGCUUCUAGCCAUUUCCAGACCACUCGCACCACACAAAACCCAGGAUUUCUGCAUGAAAAGCAAAAUAGAGUCAGCCAAAGGAGAGGCUGCCUUGCCGGGAGGUUGCCAGGAACUCUCUUCCCUCAGAAGACACAGGGAGAAAUUGGAGGGGGGUGUAAAAAAAGGGCCACCCCCCCCCACUGCCCUUGAGGCUGACCCAUUUGAUCCUU